rnacentral:rRNA from 1 species
GACGAACGCUGGCGGCGUGCUUAACACAUGCAAGUCGAACGGAAAGGCCCUGCUUUUGUGGGGUGCUCGAGUGGCGAACGGGUGAGUAACACGUGAGUAACCUGCCCUUGACUUUGGGAUAACUUCAGGAAACUGGGGCUAAUACCGGAUAGGAGCUCCUGCUGCAUGGUGGGGGUUGGAAAGUUUCGGCGGUUGGGGAUGGACUCGCGGCUUAUCAGCUUGUUGGUGGGGUAGUGGCUUACCAAGGCUUUGACGGGUAGCCGGCCGGAGGGGGUGACCGGCCGCAGGGGGAGGAAUGAGCCCCCGACCCCCCUACGAGGGGAAGCAGGGGGGAAGAAUACCAGAGGGGGGGAGACCGAAUGCGAAAGCCCCGCGGGGGGAGUGACGGCGUUGGGAUGGUAACCCAGUUCCCCUUGGAGGGAGGAGAAAGGGAGGGAAGGGAGAAAAGAAGCCCGGGCAAACGACG